rnacentral:misc_RNA from 1 species
CACCCCUCAAGCUUCAUUGCUUGGUGUUGAGACCUUGCCCGCCUCCCGGCGGCAAGUCUCUAAAUGCAGUGGCAAGAUCAGAACAACUCUGAGCGUAGUAAACUUAUUAUCUCGCUUUGGCCAGUUGUCUUGGUAUUCGCCAUCAAGCCUAUUUAUUUCUGAAU